CGCAGCACUGACUGCAGGCCAGAACGGAGUCAUUUGCAGAACCACCCGAAAGAAGAAAUAAAUAAUAAAGUGUAAAGUUAAAUAGCGGGCCAGCAGCACAAGCAGCCGGACAGACGGUGAAGCAGGUGGGAAGAGAGUCGUCGUGAAAGACUCAGAGUACACAGGGACAGUAGCAGGCAGGCGAGGAGGAGGAAGAGUCGUAAGGCCACAGGAGUAAGUUACGCUGAUGUCCGAUGAUCACCGCUCAAUUCUUGAUGUGCCAGUGGGGAUUGUGAUAGUUGAAGAUGGGACGACUCUUAAGCACCUCAACUCUCUGCAUUCGUCUCCCUCUUCGAUUGGAAUAGUAAUCGAGGGAAAAUUAGUGAUGGACAAUCUACAUGACCUUCCUGAAGCAAUGUGCCUUAUGUUCGGACUAAUUUAUGCAUUGCACCUGAGUUACCCAAAGUCGCUGAGAUACACGUUUGACUUCAUUCAGCACAUUCUACUUUCCUUGGGGCAGAAAGACCUGCAGCCUAAAACACAGACUUAAAAAUGCAGCUUACUGUUAAAAAUAUGCCCUUAAAGUGCUGUUCAAGUGUCUUAAUGUGACUUAAAAAUAUGAGC